rnacentral:rRNA from 1 species
AGAGUUUGAUCCUGGCUCAGGAUGAACGCUAGCGACAGGCUUAACACAUGCAAGUCGAGGGGCAGCGAGGGCGUAGCAAUACGCCUGUCGGCGACCGGCGCACUGGUGAGUAACACGUAUGCGACCUGCCCCCUACAGGGGUAUAACCCGUAGAAAUGCGGACUAAUCCCCCAUAGUCCCGUUGGCUGCAUGGCCAUCGGGGGAAAGGGUUUCCGGUAGGGGAUGGGCAUGCGGCGCAUUAGCUAGUUGGCGGGGCAACGGCCCACCAAGGCGACGAUGCGUAGGGGUUCUGAGAGGAAGGUCCCCCACACUGGUACUGAGACACGGACCAGACUCCUACGGGAGGCAGCAGUGAGGAAUAUUGGUCAAUGGGCGCAGGCCUGAACCAGCCAAGUCGCGUGAGGGAGGACGGUCCUACGGAUUGUAAACCUCUUUUGUCGGGGAGUAACGUGCGGGACGUGUCCCGUAUUGAGAGUACCCGAAGAAAAAGCAUCGGCUAACUCCGUGCCAGCAGCCGCGGUAAUACGGAGGAUGCGAGCGUUAUCCGGAUUUAUUGGGUUUAAAGGGUGCGCAGGCGGCGCGCCAAGUCAGCGGUCAAAGUUCCGGGCUCAACCCGGUGUCGCCGUUGAAACUGGCGUGCUCGAGUGCGUGCGAGGAAGGCGGAAUGCGUUGUGUAGCGGUGAAAUGCAUAGAUAUGACGCAGAACUCCGAUUGCGAAGGCAGCUUUCCAGCGCGCUACUGACGCUGAGGCACGAAAGCGUGGGGAUCGAACAGGAUUAGAUACCCUGGUAGUCCACGCAGUAAACGAUGACUACUAGCUUUCCGGGGCGACUGGGUCCUGGGAGGCACAGCGAAAGCGUUAAGUAGUCCACCUGGGGAGUACGCCGGCAACGGUGAAACUCAAAGGAAUUGACGGGGGCCCGCACAAGCGGAGGAACAUGUGGUUUAAUUCGAUGAUACGCGAGGAACCUUACCCGGGCUUGAAUUGCAGAGGAAGGAUUUGGAGACAAUGACGCCCUUCGGGGUCUCUGUGAAGGUGCUGCAUGGUUGUCGUCAGCUCGUGCCGUGAGGUGUCGGCUUAAGUGCCAUAACGAGCGCAACCCCUCUCCUUAGUUGCCAUCAGGUUAAGCUGGGCACUCUGGGGACACUGCCACCGUAAGGUGUGAGGAAGGUGGGGAUGACGUCAAAUCAGCACGGCCCUUACGUCCGGGGCGACACACGUGUUACAAUGGCGGAGAACAGAGGGGAGCCACGUGGCGACACGGAGCCGAUCCCGAAAAUCCGUCUCAGUUCGGAUUGGAGUCUGCAACCCGACUCCAUGAAGCUGGAUUCGCUAGUAAUCGCGCAUCAGCCAUGGCGCGGUGAAUACGUUCCCGGGCCUUGUACACACCGCCCGUCAAGCCAUGAAAGCCGGGGGCGCCUAAAGUCCGUGACCGUAAGGAGCGGCCUAGGGCGAAACUGGUAAUUGGGGCUAAGUCGUAACAAGGUAGCCGUACCGGAAGGUGCGGCUG